AGCAGCCGCGGUAAUUCCAGCUCCAAUAGCGUAUAUUAAAGUUGUUGCAGUUAAAAGCUCGUAGUUGAAUUUCGGGAUUGGCGCAUCGGUCGUGCCUUACGGGGUAUGAACUGGUGCAGUCAAUUUCUCACCUUCUGGAGAACCGCGAUGUCCUUAAUUGGGUGCCGCGGGGAACCAGGACCUUUACUUUGAAAAAAUUAGAGUGUUUAAAGCAGGCAUUUUUGCUUGAAUACAUUAGCAUGGAAUAAUAAAAUAGGACGGCAUGGUUCUAUUUUGUUGGUUUCUAGGACCACCGUAAUGAUUAAUAGGGAUAGUUGGGGGUAUUAGUAUUCAAUUGUCAGAGGUGAAAUUCUUGGAUUUAUUGAAGACUAACUACUGCGAAAGCAUUUGCCAAGGAUGUUUUCAUUAAUCAAGAACGAAAGUUAGGGGAUCGAAGACGAUCAGAUACCGUCGUAGUCUUAACCAUAAACUAUGCCGACUAGGAAUCAGACGAUGUUAAUUUUUUAAUGACUCGUUUGGC
rnacentral:rRNA from 1 species